GGGCCGGCAGCCCGGAGCGGCCCCGGGGUGCCGUGUGCGGUGUCAGCCUGCCGAGCUCGUUGUUGGCCGUACCGCGCUGUCCGCUCCCCGGCGCGGCUCGGCAGCGCUCCUCCUCUGGGUGGGGAGCUGGCGGCAUCCCGCUCCUGCCCCCGGCCUGGGACCGCGGCUGCUGCAGAGACCGGAGCCGUGCGGCGUCAUCGUGGAUCGCCCGUGCUGAGGAGCGGCUGAGGUGCGCAAGGCUGUCGGAUGCCGAAACACGAGGAUGAUUUAGCAAAACGCCAUCGAGGCUAGGGGAGAACAUUGAAAAAUUAACUGGUGUUACCUCAUUCUGUGCUGACCCCUACACUAUGAACACAUACUGUUUUUGCUGUCACCUCAGACCAGUGGUGAAUACGAAGACUCUGGCCACUGAACUGCAUUUCUCUCUAUAAAGCAGCUUUAAAAUAACCAUCCAGAUGGCAGACUAGCAAGCAGUGGGGAUUGCCUGCAUUUUGGAAUUUGGACCUCAGCACCAUUGUAAUCUGUAGACAGCUGUGGCUAAAGGUGAAAAUGAAACUUCUCUGUACAUGAUAAACCAAAAACCAGGAAUCAGCUCUCAGUAUUUGAAAUGGCUGAGAUUUCAGGAGGUAGUACUGUUGCUCCAUCUGAAACACAAGUUUGCCUAAAUGCAACCCUCUGUAGGAAUAGGUGCACCUGGAGCAUCCAUGUCCCUGUGGUCAGAGGUUCCCGGUCCGUCGUGCCAGGGCCGUUUCCGUGGUGGCAGUGAGGCCAUGUCCAUGCCCUGGAGUGAAGAGGAACGUUCUCUGCUGGCUGGAGAGUGCCCAUCAUGAGGAGGGUGAUCUGGACGAGGACCUGUGCACGAAAACACAGGAUAAGAUUCUGGUUUCCUCCCUCCUUCAAAGCGUGGGAACUCGUCUGGAGUAGGAAGCAAACCCUUCCGAGCUCCUGAGCAGUAAGAGAAGCAGGGGACAGGAGUGAGAAGAGACAUUGUAUUCAUGAAAAUCAUGUCACCU